AGCCUCAAGGGACGCCUUUGAGCGGCCACCUUGGCAAGGCUGGGAACUUUCCCCAUAAACAGCGCCCUCCACCCUGGGGUCCCGCGAUUCGCCCACCACCCGACUGCCCAGUGCCAGGCCCUGUCCCCGAGCACCCGGCCACCGCCACUGCCCUUCCGCCCAAGCCCUCGGGCCCCUCCAAGCCAGGUCGGAGGUCGGCCUCGGUUAGCCCAGGCCGGCCCUGCUCCGCAUCCACAACCCUCCGCAAACACGCCCCCUCCGGCCGCCUCGGGAGCUCGAGCUGGGCCCGCGCUGGCCAGAUGUGACCAGCUCCGGCCUGCAACCCACGCGGGGGCUUCUACAGUGAGUCUACGGGGACACCCUGGGGGCCCCAGGAUCCCGCCCUCCCCCUGGCACCCGGCAGCCGAGGAAGGGGCUCGGUGGCGGGAGCCGGAGGCCGGCCAAGAUCCCCACCAGCCCCCUCCAGGAGGAAGGCUCCCAGCACCGCGAUCCACAGCACCUUACCGGGCGCUGGGCUGGGAAUUCAGAGCCCACACAGAAGCUGGUCCAGUGAUUAAAGCCCCAGUUGUGGCAUGCGGCAAGCCUAGCUGUGCUAUAUACUAGCAGUUUAAUCCGGGUUGUAUGACCUAGAGAGAGAUGCUGCACCUCUCUGGACCACUCUUUGCUCUUGUAUAAAAUGGAGAUACCACUGGUACCUGCCUACAGAGACUUGGCUGGCGACUAAAUGAGAUCAUGGGUAAAGUCCCAGGGAGGGUGGGAUACAGAGUGAGCCCAUCUGGCAGCUGUCAUCACACGACCUGAUCUGAAAGGAGUUAGACUACCAUGAAUAUUACUACUCUGCCCAGACUGACAAAAGGAAACUGAAGAGCCCAAUUCACUGCACUAAGAAGUAAUGAGAGACAAUACCAAACUGAGGCUUGCUAGGAAGGAAGGGAUUGAGUCCAACCAAAGGGAGAGGUGACACUUGAGCUGGGCUUUGAAGAGUGGUUGGGUUUCACUAGGCAGAUAGAGGGGAGCAGGGUGACAGGAAGUGGGAGCAACUGGGGGGGGGGGGGGGAAUGAUGCUUCAUCAACCUUGGCCUUCUAAGAAACAGAAAUAGGAGGCUGAGUAUUCUAUUUUGGGAAACGAGUGACCAAGAUUUUAAAAAAAAAGUCUAGUCUGAGAACUGGAGUGUAGACCACCAGGUGUCCAACCUGUCUCCAGGCAUCCUUGGGUCCCAACUGCACGGUGGGAACAAGGCUUCACACAGAGAGACGGGUGUAAAGGGACAAGGACUGCACCUGCCCUUUUGUACUCUGAAUCUAAUUAAACACUAUCUGUUAUCAUA